UACAGAGGUCUCAAGCGUUGUUCGGAUUCACUGGGCUUAAAGGGCGCGUAGGCGGCUUGCCAAGUCAGGGGUGAAAUCUUUCGGCUCAACCGGAAAAGUGCCUUUGAUACUGGCGAGCUAGAGGGAGGUAGGGGUGCGUGGAACUUCUGGUGGAGCGGUGAAAUGCGUAGAUAUCAGAAGGAACGCCGGUGGCGAAAGCGACGCACUGGAUCUCUACUGACGCUGAGGCGCGAAAGCUAGGGGAGCGAACGGG
rnacentral:rRNA from 1 species